CUGAGGCGAGGGCGGAUUAUUUAGAUUACAAGAAAUUGAAGAAUACAGGGUGUGGAACUGUGAUUUCGUCCAUCUUGAUUGGUAUGGAUAAUGAUACAAUGAAGAGUUCUGCCAUGUUUAUCGAGUUUCAGACGAUGGAAUUAGCGUGGGGAUUGGAAGGGGAUUGUGCAUGUCAUAACGAUGCAAAUUGUACCAACGUUUCUCUCCCGGGGAACCGAAAAGGUUUCCGGUGCCGGUGUAAAGAUGGAUUCGUCGGUGAUGGCUUCAGCGACGGUGAUGGCUGCCGGAAAGUUUCAAGAUGUAAUCCUUCCAGAUACCUCUCUGGACGAUGUGGUGGAACUACCAGAAUUGGUGUGCUCGUUGGAGGGAUUAUUGCUGGAGCUGGUUUAAUGGCUGCUUUGGCUGUUCUUUGCUACUGCAUUCGAAGACGUUCUGCAUCUCUCAAGAAAAGAAUGAGCGCAAGACGCCUUCUCUCUGAAGCUGCAGGCAGCAACAGUGUUCAUGUAUUUCAAUACAAAGAAAUUGAGAGAGCAACAAAUAGUUUCUCUGAGAAACAGAGGCUGGGCAUAGGGGCUUAUGGCACAGUUUAUGCUGGAAAGCUCCACAGUGAUGAAUGGGUUGCAAUUAAGAAACUAAGACACCGGGAUCCGGAUGGUGUUGAACAAGUGAUGAAUGAGGUUAAGCUUUUGUCUUCUGUAAGUCAUCCAAACUUAGUCCGCCUCUUGGGUUGUUGUAUAGAAAAUGGUGAACAGAUUCUUGUUUAUGAAUUUAUGCCCAACGGAACUCUAGCUCAGCAUCUACAGAGAGAAAGGAGUUCAGGACUUCCGUGGACAAUACGUCUCACUAUCGCAACAGAAACUGCUCAUGCGAUUGCUCACCUUCACUCAGCAAUGAAUCCACCAAUAUACCACAGGGAUAUCAAAUCAAGUAACAUACUAUUGGAUUACAACUUCAACUCAAAAGUUGCAGACUUUGGUCUUUCCAGAUUUGGCAUGACAGAUGAUUCCCACAUUUCUACAGCACCACAAGGUACUCCAGGUUAUGUGGAUCCUCAGUACCAUCAGAAUUACCAUCUUUCCGAUAAGAGUGAUGUGUACAGCUUCGGG
rnacentral:misc_RNA from 1 species